rnacentral:rRNA from 1 species
GAUCCUGGCUUAGGACGAACGCUGGCGGCGUGCUUAACACAUGCAAGUCGAACGGAAAGGCCCUUCGGGGUACUCGAGUGGCGAACGGGUGAGUAACACGUGGGUGAUCUGCCCUGCACUUUGGGAUAAGCCUGGGAAACUGGGUCUAAUACCGAAUACACCUCAUUGACUGCAUGGUUGGUGGGGGAAAGCUUUUGCGGUGUGGGAUGGGCCCGCGGCCUAUCAGCUUGUUGGUGAGGUUACGGCUCACCAAGGCGACGACGGGUAGCCGGCCUGAGAGGGUGACCGGCCACACUGGGACUGAGAUACGGCCCAGACUCCUACGGGAGGCAGCAGUGGGGAAUAUUGCACAAUGGGCGCAAGCCUGAUGCAGCGACGCCGCGUGGGGGAUGACGGCCUUCGGGUUGUAAACUCCUUUCAGCACAGACGAAGCGCAAGUGACGGUAUGUGCAGAAGAAGGACCGGCCAACUACGUGCCAGCCGCGGC